rnacentral:rRNA from 1 species
GAUGAACGCUAGCGGCAGGCCUAAUACAUGCAAGUCGAGGGAGAAUGUUGGAUUCGUCUGACAUGAAACCGGCGCACGGGUGCGUAACACGUAUGCAACCUACCUUUAACUGGGGUAUAGCUCAGAGAAAUCUGAAUUAAUCCCCCAUAAGACUACGGCAUGGCAUCAUGAUGUAGUUAAAGCUCCGGCGGUUAAGGAUGGGCAUGCGGUACAUUAGCUAGUUGGUGAGGUAAUGGCUCACCAAGGCUACGAUGUAUAGGGGGUCUGAGAGGGUGAUCCCCCACACUGGUACUGAGACACGGACCAGACUCCUACGGGAGGCAGCAGUAGGGAAUAUUGGUCAAUGGACGCAAGUCUGAACCAGCCAUGCCGCGUGAAGGAUGAAGGCCCUAUGGGUCGUAAACUUCUUUUAUUAGGGAAGAAAAAACGGGAUGCGUCCUGUACUGACGGUACUUAAUGAAUAAGGAUCGGCUAACUUCGUGCCAGCAGCCGCCGUAA